UUAUUAUUAUUAUUAUUAUUAUUCAGGUUACUGCCUGGAAUCGAACUCUGAAUCUUGGAGUUCGCUUCCAGGCAGUGACCUGAAUAAUAAUAAUAAUAA
rnacentral:pre_miRNA from 1 species